AUGUGCCGGAACCUGACUUCUAUAUCGUCUAACUUCUGGUGGGGAGAAACAAAUGGGGAGAGGAAGGUGCACUGGCUUGCAUGGAAAAAGAUGUGCAGGGCAAAGAAAGAAGGAGGAAUGGGCUUUCAGGAUCCAUAAGCUUUUAACCAAGCUCUGCUGGCCAAACAAGCCUGGCGCGUGCUGCAGUACCCAGAUUCUGUUGGAAAUAUGGUGCUCAAGGCAAGGUAUUUCCCCCAUGGAUCAAUCUUGAAUGCUACCUGCCCUGCUGGCGGCUCGUUCACUUUCAAAAGUAUUAUUCAUGGUCGGGAG
rnacentral:rRNA from 1 species